GAUGAACGCUGGCGGCGUGCCUAAUACAUGCAAGUCGAGCGAACGGACGAGAAGCUUGCUUCUCUGAUGUUAGCGGCGGACGGGUGAGUAACACGUGGAUAACCUACCUAUAAGACGGGGAAAACUUCGGGAAACCGGAGCUAAUACCGGAUAAUAUUUUGAACCGCAUGGUUCAAUAGUGAAAGACGGUCUUGCUGGCAGUAAUAGAUGGAUCCGCGCUGCAUUAGCUAGUCGGUAAGGUAACGGGUUACCAAGGCAACGAUGCAUAGCCGACCGGAGUGGGUGAUCGGCCGCCUGGGAACGUGGACACGGUCCUUACUCCUGCGGGAGGCAGCAGACGGGAACCGUCCGCAAUGGUCGGAAACCUUACGGAGCGGCGCCGCGUCAGAUAUGGCAACCUUCCGUGCGUAAAACUCUGUUAUUAGUGGAGAACAUAUGUGUCAGUUACUGUGCACAGCUUGACGGUACCUGGUCAGAAAGCCACGGCUAACUACGUG
rnacentral:rRNA from 1 species